rnacentral:lncRNA from 1 species
UUUUUCAGUACAUUUCAUGUGCAGCAUCCAUGAGAUCCUCCACCUCCUCAUCCGUAGCCCUAUCUUUGCCAAAAAUUAUUUUCCAAUCAUCAUGGUACGACCAACUUUUAUAGCGCAUGGUGCGUGUGUUUCCAUCGGACUGAAUUACAAUUGAAAUAACUAAUGUUAGCCGAAAGCAUUAUAUUAAAUACCAGGCGGCAUAUUUUUAAGCAAAGCAUACCCAGUUACCUUUACAAUGUUUUCCCAUUGUUCAUCAUCAACAUCAACCAUGUGUGUCCCUUUCGCAUUGAAGCCAACUCCACUGAACUUGAGGAUGGGACGACGACUCAAAAAAGAAUACAGAUCAUAA